rnacentral:tRNA from 1 species
GAAUAUGAAGCGAUUUAUUGCAAUUAGUUUCGACCUAAUUUUAGGUAUUAUUUACCCCUAUUCU